rnacentral:lncRNA from 1 species
GAUACCGCCAAGAUGGCUGGGUGUCUGAAGAUCACAGAUCCCCGAGCCUUGACACUGGCCUAUAGGUUGCCCUUGAAAAGCCAGGAGUACCCCAUUGUGCACUACCUGGCCUUCAUCCCUGUCGUCGAUGGUGACUUCAUUCCUGAUGAUCCCAUCAACCUGUACGACAACGCUGCUGACAUUGACUACUUAGCGGGUAUUAAUGACAUGGAUGGCCACCUGUUUGCUACAGUUGACGUGCCCGCCAUCGACAAGGCCAAGCAGGAUGUCACAGAGGAGGACUUCUACAGGCUAGUCAGUGGACACACUGUCGCCAAGGGGCUUAAAGGCACCCAAGCCACCUUUGACAUCUACACUGAGUCCUGUGUUCAAUUCCCAGCACCCACAUUGCUGCUUACAGCUGUCUGAUUCCGUCUACUGGUGUGCAGAUGUACACGCAGACAAAGCGCCUAUAUAUAGAAAAUUCAUACAUAAAUAAAGUCUUAUAAGCCUUG